GGUCAAUGUGAAUGGUAGACAUCAUGCAUGCCACUGCCUGAACUGGCCUAUUAAAAUAUUCAGCACAAUCCUCCCUGCCUGCACAUGCUCUUUACUCACUAACAAGCUGAAUGGAGAGAAAACCAAAACCCGAAACAAAACCCAAGGACUUAGAGAAAGGCAAAGUCACAGAUAGAAAGAUCCCAAGUCCAUAUGCCACCACUUGGAGAAGAGCUUUCCAAGAGAAUUAAGUCACCAGGAAAAUCCAUGGACGUCUGUUGGCCUGAUACAUAUUUUUGGUUUUAUACAACAUGAUCCCAAACACCUGACCCAAAUGGAUUGAACCAGAGGCAAGUACUUAUUCCAAGGCUUUUGCCAGACUCGAUUCUAUGGCCAGAGCUGUCAGUCUAUGGAUAAACACCUGAUUUGGGCAUAAUGAAGUGGAGUACGAAAGUCGAGAAUGUGAUCAGUUCUCCAGAGAAAAGAACAUUGAAUUAGAAGCAAGUCACAAAUCUCUGACUUCUACUCAAAAUUUGCUCCCAACAACGUGAUGCCAUCUGCCAUGCUAUGAUGUACCAUGAGGCCCUCGCCAGAUGCAGCCACCCAGUAUGGAAACUUCUCAGUCUUCAGAGCUGUGAGACAAACCUCAUUAUUAAAAUAGAUUUUCCAGUCCCAGGUACUCUUUUAUAGCAAUAGGAAAUGACCUAAGACAGCUGUUAUGUUUUCCUGUUGUAUCAUCCGUCUUCUAAUUUUCUUUUUGAUAGUUUGGUAAGGAUAAACUGUCUUAAUUUUUUGUAGCUGUAUUUAUCAAUGUGAUUUUUGUAGUCUUUGUGUCACACACAUAAAGGUCUUUCAUACUCUGAAAUUAUAAACUGUUUUCUCCCUCCAUUACUUUUAUGAUUUUAUAUUUUUUACUGUGGACUCUUCAAUUUUCUUGAAUUAGUUUCAGUGACAAAAUGUGAAUCCAUUUUUGUCCAGAUGGCUUCCCCAUUAUCUAAGCACCAUUUAUUGAAUUAUCCAUCUUUUCCCCCACAGAUAUUUGACAUAUAUUAUAUGAUGCCACCUUUAUUAUAUGCUAAUCCCUAAGUAUUUCUACCUAUUUCUGGACUUCCUAGUUUGCUCCAUUUACAUGUCUGUCUGCUAAUGUGCCAACACUGCCUCAUUUUACUGUUAAACAUUUUAAUCAUUUAAAAAUAUCUGUUGUGCUAUUCUUUUAUCAAAAAUACUCUUCUGAAUUUUCCUUUUAAAGUUUUCCAUAUUAAGUUUAAAACUAAUUCCACAGAAAAAUGCCUUGUUAUUUUUAUUGGAAUCAAGUGUUAUUUAUAGAUUAAUUUUGAGAGAAUUUAUUGUUUUAUGAUGUUAGAUUUUCCUAUUCAAAAAUAUGAUAUGCUUUUAUAUUUGUCUAAGACUUCCUUUCUCCACUGGUAGCAUUUGAAUAUUUUCUUCAUACAGAUUUUAUGUGUUUCUUGUUAAGUAUAUUCUUUACUACUUCUCUCUUAAAGAGACUUUUUUUUCUUGAAGAGACUACAUACUACAGCAGUUAAAGCCAUAGCCUGUGGAUUAAGACUCCCUAAAUUUAAAUUAUGGUUCUAAAACUUACUAGCUGUAGAAACACGAACAAGUUAAUUAAAUGCUUUACCUCCAUUUCUUCAUUUGUACUACAAGCCUGUGAAAGCUCUCAGAAGAAUGCCUAGUGCAUAAUAAGAAUUCAUUAUUAACUCAUUGUUGCUAUUGUAGAUGAUUGUUUUUUUCCCAUAAAUCUUCCAACUUUUUAUUAUUUACAUAAACAGAAACUAUUGGUAUCUGGACAUAUUUUGCAUCUAG
rnacentral:lncRNA from 1 species